GGGAAAAUAAGCCUGUACACAAUGCUACCACAGAUCCAUUUCAUCUUUAUUACUCAAUGUCUUGUACAAGUUGUAUUCUGUCAACGCAUUCAACUCUUUCCCUACAAUGAAACAAAGAACUGUAACAUCAGUCUUGU
rnacentral:sRNA from 1 species